UUUUGUUUAUUAAUUAUUACUAUUGAUAUUUUUCUAAGACAUAUAUUUUUAUAUAGUUUCACGCCUUAAAUUAAAUCAAUAGAUUUUGUUUCUUAUCUGUUUAUUUAUUUUCUUACAAGCGUAUAAUUAUUUAUUUUAAAACCUAAGUUACUUCUUACUGCAUUAUUUAUCUGCCAGUGAAAGUCCUGUCACGAUCGGUCCAGCCGUUUAAGAUAUUAGCCGGAACAAACAGACAGACGGACAAA
rnacentral:misc_RNA from 1 species